AGUGUAGGCGGCUUCGUAAGUCGGAUGUGAAAGCCCCGGGCUUAACCUGGGAAUGGCAUUCGAUACUGCGCGGCUAGAGUCUGAUAGAGGGAAGUGGAAUUCCAGGUGUAGCGGUGAAAUGCGUAGAGAUCUGGAGGAACACCAGUGGCGAAGGCGGCUUCCUGGAUCAAGACUGACGCUGAGGCUCGAAAGCGGUGGGGAGGCAAACA
rnacentral:rRNA from 1 species